GAUUUUAUUAGUUAGUGUUCAGGUUGGAGAUCCCGUUGCUUGACUGUUGCAGAUUGUGAGAACUCGACAAAUUCUGAGCUCCAUGGCUGGCAUCAUUACAGUGGUUUUGUUGCAGCCAGCUGGUGAAAGGCGUGAUCAAGUCAAGUUGAGCUGCAGCUGCUGCAUGCAGUUUAUCGAGCUGGUGUUAUCCUGAAGUAUCAUUGCAAGAAGACUUUUUGAAAUGGACUUGGUGAUACUUAAACUAUGCCUGUGCUGUUCAAUGUGCAGUGGUUUUGCAGCCUGUUUCCAGUUGAGAGAUGUGAUUAUGCAGCUGAUACAGGAUUGAAGAA